UUUCUCCUUUCAGCUCUCUUUCUACCCAACAUCCUUCUUUUUCUUCUUCUUCUCCAUCUUUUUUGUCUUCCAAAAUUCCUCUCUACUUUUCUCCUUCUUCCCAAACCCUUCUACUCCCUUUCUCCUUCAUCACUCAUGGCUCCCAAGCGCAUUCGCACUGCUCACGAGUCCUCUUCCAGCAACCCUCGACCUAAGGAAAAACAUGAGGAAGUGCCCAUUGCCCCUGAUCUGCGAUUCCGUGAUGUAGACCAAAGAGCAAGGUGGUCCAAGAUGGGUAGCAGGCAAAUGCAACUCUUCAGCUUUUCGCCACCCCGCUAUCUAUAUCGUGUAUCGUUAUUGCCUCCUUUAUUUUUGGCAAGAGGAGACUCUGAAGGCAAAGUUAGACUGAGUGACUUGUUGUUCAUCUAGGCUAUGGUCAAGAAUAGGGUAGAUAAAAUUAAUUAUGGAUCACACUUGGCCCGACAAUUUCAAAGCAUCAUCACUAUUGACUCCGAAUUAAUAGUUAUUAGGGGCCUUAUAACUACCAUUGCAAAAUAUUUGGAAUACAUAACUUUUGUGGAGCAACUACAGGCCAUUGAAGGCAGCCGAAGUAUUAGCUUUGCUACUUGUUUUGUUAUGAACUGCAUCACUAGAGAAGAGAUGAAAACAAUCAAUAUUAUUUCAUUAUCUCUCAAUCAGGAGCUCAUCAUCCACUCCCCAACCCACAAUGCUCCAUCAAGAAUGAGGAUACCUGGCGUUUCCCUCUAGAACCCACUAUAGAAUUUUUAGGGAUAGAAGGGGACACUGCAAAACCAGGAGCUGAAGAGGAACCUUUGGAUGAGCCAGAGGAGCCAAAGCAGCAAGAGCAGUAAGACAUUGACAAUAUACAAAUCCUUGUAGCUAUACAAGCCAUGGAUAAUCGUCUUUAGCAAAUGGAUGAACGCCAAUAACAUUACCAUCAUAUGGUAGAUCAAAUGUAUAAUUGGCACCUCCGACGAUAUCCUGAUGACUUCUCACUUCAGUAAGUUAUUUUCUAUACCCUACUUUUAUUGCUUAGGGACAAGCAAUUAUUCAAGUUUGGGGUUGUUAGGGGUGGUCUGUCAUGCACCUAUUUUUGUCAUGCACUCAUGCAUUUUUAAAUUUUGAUCCACUCAUUGUUUGGAUGCAUUCAUUUUUAAUUUUUCAAUGCAAUUUAAUUUGUUCCCAUGCAUAUAUUAUACUUCAUUCAUGCAUAAAAAUAAAUAAUAAUAAAAACAAAAUUGUAAGUUUUCUAAUCAAUUCCUGUUUGAACCUUAAAAACAAAAAGAAAAUUUUGAAUUUUGGAGGUAAAGGUUUCAUAAGUAAGUCAUCUAGAGGGUAGAUAUCUCAAUUUUUGGUGCCUCAAUAAAAAGACUAAAAAAAUUAGCUAGAAUCAUCGAUAUUGCUUAUCUUUCUACAAUUUGAUAAUUUUGAUUGGGGGAAAAAGAAAAUAAUUGAUAAUCAGGUGAGGAUAAAUAAGCCUUUUGUCUUUUAUUAAUUAAGAAACUAAGUGGGGGUAGAAUAAACUCAAAAUAAAUGAAUUAAUCAAUUAAAAUAAAUAAAUAAAUAAAUAAAUAAGAGGAAAAAGUUAAAUAAAUAUCUCAUCAAGCACCCCUUUGAGAUCAUAGGCUUGAGGAAAAAUUCAAAACCUUGAAAAAAAAAAAAUCUAACCAACUAUUGGGAAAAUGUCUAGUAAAUGGCUAGGCACCCCUUUGAGGUUGUAAAUUCUUCUACUGAUUGGCUAUUGGGGAAAUGUUUGAGAGAAAUAAAUUAAGUAAGCAAAAACUAAAAACUAAUCUCUGCUCCCCUUUGUUGUAUAAGCAUGAAGGUAUAGGAUUGCUAAUUUUGAGCUUGAUGACUCAAAUUAUUUGAAAUUUUCCCUUGAACUUGAUUUGAUGAAAGGUAAAGAACAAGCAAAAAUAUGAUAAAUAAGUCUCUAAUUGGGUCUUGUGUGACACUAAAAUAGAGUACUUUACAUGAUGGAUUGCUUCUUUGAAACUUAACUCUCUUGAAUAUGAUUAUUGCUUGAGGACAAACAAAGGUUUAAGUUUGGGGUUGUUUGAUCAUUGACAAUUUAAUCUACAUUUUACCCUAGAAAGCAAGCAUUUUCAUGCAUUUUAGUAUUUUAAAUAUGGUUAGGAUAGCUUGUUAUUCUUCCUUUUAUACUUUGAUGCACUUUUGGUAUGUUUUAAUUAUUUCUAGAGGGUUUAGGCCCGGCAAGGGAUCAUAAAGAGUGAAGGAAUUCAUGAAGACUGCAAGCAAGGAAGAUCACAAUCGUGACUGGUGAGUCACACCUAUGAUUCACGUGCAAAAAGUGAAGAUUCUCAAACAGGAUCAAUCAUGGUUGUGACUCACUGGUCACACUUGUGACUCGCUCUGUCUCGACAAUACAUUGAAAGUCAAGGAGAUCACGGUCAUGACUCACCAGUCAUGCCCGUGACUCUCUUGAAAAAUUGAAAAUCCUAAUUUUUGUUCCUUGUUUCCCUUUUUAUUUAUUUAUGUAAUUUCCUUUUCCUAUGUUACCUUGGUUAGCUUAUAAAUUAGCAUGUUAGGGUCUAAACCUAUAUCUUUUGCUUCAACUUUGUUUUAAAGAUUAAGGAGAAGGAUUGCGCUUGUGCUUUAUACCUCUAAGGUCUUAUUAUCUUUUCUUUUCUUUUUAUUUCUUUUCUGGGGAAAACUACCAUGAUCAUGUGUGAGUAGUUCCCUAUUUUUGGAAUCAUGGCUUAGCCCCUUGAGAACCUUUUGGUUAAUGUAUUAUUCAGUUUUCUUAUA